rnacentral:rRNA from 1 species
UACAGAGGGGGCAAGCGUUGUUCGGAAUUACUGGGCGUAAAGGGCGCGUAGGCGGCCUGCUAAGUCGAACGUGAAAUCCCCGGGCUUAACCCGGGAACUGCGUCUGAUACUGGAUGGCUUGAAUCCGGGAGAGGGAUGCAGAAUUCCAGGUGUAGCGGUGAAAUGCGUAGAUGUCUGGAGGAAUACCGGUGGCGAAGGCGGCAUCCUGGACCGGCAUUGACGCUGAGGAGCGAAAGCUAGGGGAGCAAACGGG